AUGGAGGUCCUUCAUCCUUCUCCUAAAAAAUAUCUUAAACACUGUACAGAUGCAGCUGCAGUCUCGCCUGAUUCACAUAAGAGAGAUUAUCCAACUAAUAUUUUUGGCAUAAACAUUUGGUGUCUACCAAUAGUGUGGUACCGAGUGUUGACUUUAUCAAUUAUCGCACCUAUACCUAAAGUAAUGAUUGCUCUACUUUUAUUUUGA